rnacentral:rRNA from 1 species
AUGCAAGUCGAGGGGUAACGGAAGUAGCUUGCUACUAGACGACGACCGGCGCACAGGUGAGUAACGCGUAUGUAAUCUGCCUUGUACAGAGGGAUAGCCCAGAGAAAUUUGGAUUAAUACCUCAUAGUAUUACCGAAUCGCAUGAUUUGGUAAUUAAAGCUCCGGCGGUACAAGAUGAACAUGCGUGACAUUAGCUAGUUGGUAAGGUAACGGCUUACCAAGGCUACGAUGUCUAGGGGUUCUGAGAGGAUGAUCCCCCACACUGGUACUGAGACACGGACCAGACUCCUACGGGAGGCAGCAGUGAGGAAUAUUGGUCAAUGGACGCAAGUCUGAACCAGCCAUCCCGCGUGAAGGAUGACUGCCCUAUGGGUUGUAAACUUCUUUUAUAUGCAAAUAAACCUACUUUCGUGAAAGUAGCUGAAGGUAGCAUAUGAAUAAACACCGGCUAACUCCGUGCCAGCAGCCGCGGUAAUACGGAGGGUGUAAGCGUUAUCCGGAUUUAUUGGGUUUAAAGGGUACGUAGGCGGUAAUAUAAGUCAGUGGUGAAAUCCUGCAGCUCAACUGUAGAACUGCCAUUGAAACUGUA